rnacentral:lncRNA from 1 species
CAAAUGACAUUUGGUGUCGACACUUGCUUUUGAUGUUUUUGCUGUUGGUUUGUUAAAGGCAAAGAGCUUUCACGCCGGGCGAAUGGAGGAGUCACCAUCUCAGCUGAUGGACGUUCCAUGCAGCCUGGAGCUGAAGAAACAGACUGAAGCACAAAAAGGAUCACGGACUAUAGAUCUGCACCUCUUACAAGGAUGCCAGAAUUUUGGAGGUUGCAAAGAGGCAGAAAAUCUGCAAACUUUACUAAAGAAUUUUACUCAUACAGCUUCACACCAGGCUGAAUAUCCCAGCAGAGCUAUUGCCUUAUUAAAUGGAGUGGUAAUUCAUAUGUUCCAGCUCUCUGUAACUAAACUUAAGGAAUUAUGGAGUGAUGGCUCUGGUUCCACGGCAUGGCAGUAACCUGCAGUGAGGAAAACCAGAGAAAUACUGCAGUUGGGUAACUCACCCCACAAAAGGAAGAGGUAAACAGAAAUUAACAGGUGGUUGGAAAUGCAUAUCCUGCUCUUCCAGAUAAACACCAGCUCUCUCUUUAAGUAUUCCAAACUCUGCCUCAAUAUCUCACAUCCUUUGGAAAUCACUUUGCCGGUUGCUUGCGGUUACAAUUUUUUUCAUGGCGCUGUUUUUAUGUGUUAAAAAUAGAUUUUUUAAAAGCGGAUUUUUCUUUUUCUUUGUCUGUACGUUGCCUCAUAAAAGUCUCGUUGCCAAGAGUUUGAAAUCCUGUGUCAAUCACCAGUGUUUUCUCCG